UCUUGGUAUGUUAAACAAGUCAGAUUCCAUCUGGUUAAGAUUCGGGAUCAGCAGAACCAGAUAUUCCUUAAGGAACUCGAUGUAAACAAUCAGUAGUGGUCUGUAGCCUGUAGGCAAGCGAUGGGUAAUGCUUCAUGAAGCGUGCUUGAUGAAUACCUUUCAGCAAGCUUAUGUCUGACUUGAAUUUGUGGGGAACGACAACAGACAAAUAGUUUUCUGAAUAACUGUUUUGUUAGUUCACUCCCAGCUGACAAACAUGGCAGAAAGACACACCAGAAUAUACGAGUGGGAGAUUUAUCGCUGAUGAAGAAACGCGUCUUCCCAGAAAGAAAAGAGAACAAUGGGAUCAUAGUUUGCAAAACAACACCCCAGAUGUCUCCUUGGCUUUCGCUCGGCCUUAGGCAGCUGCCAAAUCAUAUCUGUCAUUAACCCAGGGAAAUCCAGCUACAGGGAUCAUGGGAUGCCUCGCAGAAGGAUUUUUACACUCUCCUCAUAUUUCCCACCACUAUUAAGACUUCCUAAAUGCAAUUUGCAUGUCAGCAUCAGUUUUUGGAAAGUAUAGCGGUGUUAACAGGUGUUGUUCACCUUUGAAUUGUAAUCUAAAGCAAAAAAGGGCUCAGACUUCAUUGCAAACGUUUCAUUACAGGACUAGAGGGCGGGAUCUGGAGACUCCCAUAAUACCUCCACAAACAGUAUUGUGACUGGAAAUAAAACCGCAUCAAGAAUAAAUCAUCAUGGAGAAGGUUAACCGGUUCAUGGAAGUGCAGAUAGCUGUGCAGUUUCGCAGCCUCAACAGGAUCUAGACCUGCAAUCACGUGUAGGAAUGCCGCAUGCUCAUUUUAGCCCCAUCUGUGUCCCGUAACCCAGAUGCCCCUCGCCUCACCGUGACCUCUUCCUCUGCGGCGUCGUCCCCCUCUCCCUUA